GACGAACGCUGGCGGCGUGCUUAACACAUGCAAGUCGAACGGAAAGGCCCUGCUUUUGUGGGGUGCUCGAGUGGCGAACGGGUGAGUAACACGUGAGUAACCUGCCCUUGACUUUGGGAUAACUUCAGGAAACUGGGGCUAAUACCGGAUAGGAGCUCCUGCUGCAUGGUGGGGGUUGGAAAGUUUCGGCGGUUGGGGAUGGACUCGCGGCUUAUCAGCUUGUUGGUGGGGUAGUGGCUUACCAAGGCUUUGACGGGUAGCCGGCCUGAGAGGGUGACCGGCCCCAUUGGGACUGCGGUACGGCCCAGACUCCUACGGGCGGCAGCAGUGGGGAAUAUUGCACAAUGGGCGGAAGCCUGAUGCAGCAACGCCGCGUGCGGGAUGACGGCCUUCGGGUUGUAAACCGCUUUCGCCUGUGACGAAGCGUGAGUGACGGUAAUGGGUAAAGAAGCACCGGCUAACUACGUG
rnacentral:rRNA from 1 species